UUCAAGCUAAAGUGAAGCUAAAGCCGCUGCUUGCGCGGUGUUCAUUCGGUGUCGGACGUUACAUGUCUAAAAAAAACCCUGUCAAAGAAAACACGCACUACGUGAAGUCUCUAGCUCAAAAAAGUAAAUAAUUGUUUAAUUCGAAUAACUAAUUCUGUUAUUUCUUUAGAUUGUGUGCACAUAUAAUAGUUUUGUUUUUAAAGGGAGUGUGUUUGCCAGUAAUAUGGACAGCAGUAAUAUUAUUAUAUGGCAAUGUGUACACAAAGCAUUAAGCUAGCGAUUAGCUUAGCGUCCGUCGUUCUUCAGAUCAUAACUUGCCACGCGUAUUGGUGGCGUAUGCUAUGCUAUUCUUGGCGCAUGUCCUUAGGUCCUUUUAGAAUAGUGGCUUUAUUUGAGGAGUUUAUUUGUGUUGCAAAAAAUUAUUGUAGCGGUUAGAGCCACAAAUUUGUCCCGUGCUGGGUUAAUGAAGUUUUUUUUUUUUGUUUUUUUUUGUAAAUGGUUGAUAUCAUUUUAAGAUUAAAUUAUGUUUUUGUUUUAAUCAGUUAAUAAUUUAAAUUUGUAUUUGUGAAUUUUAUCUGUUGGUUUUUUUUUAUUUCGUCCACUCUAAUACUUUCCGUACUGCACACCGCACUUUUUUGAACUUUUUUUGUUUCCGUACUACCUGCGCUGUCUGUCCUGUCUCAUGUUGCCGCAUGCACCGAUGAGGGGGAGCUGUGCAGUGCAGACACAGAAACCUACAUCUACAUGCAGGCCAAUAAGACGAGAAGAUAAAAGUCCAAGCUGGCUUCAGUAGUUUCGUACGGUCAGGGAGAGAGGCUGCAAUGAAAAGCGUUACACUAACGGGUUCACUGAGGAAAUGGAACUGAUGGUCACACAGAUUUAUGGAGGCAGACAUCCAAAACCUUGAUUGGACCUCCAGGAGAGACGAGUGUGGCCACUGGGACGUGCACAUUUAUGGACUUAAAGUACCAAGAUCAUAAGGCGCAUAAACCAACCUCGUGUUAAGCCAACACCUCCGUCUCCUGCAGAGGAGCUCCGCAAUGGGGAAAUCCACAGGUCAGCAAGAAAGCAAAAGGUCAGUCCCAGCCAUCAUGUUGUGAAGACUUACUUUGGAACAUUUAAGAUGCUGCGUGUGUCCUUUCUCUUCUUCCAGAGACUGCGCCCUACAGAACCUUGCAGCGCAGAUGAAGGCACUCCCUAAAGUUGUGGGCCGUGAGCUGCCACCUACUCGGGAUUUGCUGGUGAUAGAAGGGACGUGGAUCUACUCUGCAGCUUGCAUUAUUACACGCCAAGUGUGUGUUUCACUGUUUGAUAAUGGAAGGGAACAAACUCAAUACUUGGUGGAGAAAACAUUGGCUGCAAUACAUCUGAAUCUGAACUGUGAUAAAGAAAAAUAACGUGACAGCGGAUGAAGUUUGUUCCUGAGAACAGGAAAAAAAAAAAAAACAGUUGUGAUUCUGAUGUUGGUAAUAACAUGAGAUGUAUUCAUUAGGUAAUACUACAGAAAAUGUCUUAUUACCAAUAUGUUUCUUCAUAGUGUGAAUUUGAGGUUUGACUUGGAGUUUUGACAUGCUGCAUUUUUUCACGCAGUCACUUUGGUUUUGACAUUAAUUUGUCGAUUUGAUUCUGCUUCAAACAAAAGCUCUAAGAUUUGACCAAGAAUGGGUUUAGGUUUAUUGAAGACAUUUACACAGACACGUCUACUGAAGAAGUGGCAUAACUGUACUGUGGCUAAAUGUACAAUAGUACCAGUAGUUCCACUCCUCUAUUGUAGCUUUGACUUGUCUGUAGUUACAUUUCAAGUUUUUAUACAACAUUUGUUCUUCUUUAAAUGUUCUUUUCUGUUUUUCUGGAAGUCCCUGAUGAGAUUUGUACAAGCAGACUUGAAGCUACAAUACAACGUCUUAAUUUACGGAAGCCAACUGUGCGGCUCUUGGCCUCCUCCUACUACUUCGUUAUUGAGUGUGCUCGCUUUCUCCGUCACCUCCUGGUUUGAAUCCAUUAGCCUGCAAAGAAAGAAAUCUGUCGGGACCCCUCACAUCCUGAGUCCCAUGUUCCAGUGGCUCCCAUCAGGACACAGACUCCCUGAUGCAGGACCCAAAUAGGAGAAACACUGUAAUCCCAGCAGUAGUUAUCCAUCAGAAUGCUGUCCUGUACAAUGACGCUUUUAAUUGAUCUUAAUAGUAAUAUUAAUUUUCCUGGAUGCUUUACCUUAAUUGGCCUUCAGGGAUAAAUAAUAGAGAUAAAGUGUUUUAAAUUGAAUUGAUCAAUACAUUAUAAAUACCAGAAAUACUCACGUACACAUUAUUCAAAGAAAUAAAUUAAAAACAAAUCUAUGUUGUGAAGUUCACGUCUGAAAAUAUGUCAGUUGUAUAAAAAACAUUUUGCCGUUUCCGCUCACGCACGUCAGC